rnacentral:sRNA from 1 species
GUUACUCCCAUCAGUUUGUGCUUUCAAACUGAUGGCUGACUUCUCUGAAUUUGUGUAGAGCACAACGAAUGCUGUGCUCCGGGGGCUGCGGUGCACCCUUUUUAAAGGGACCCUGCAAUCUCAUUGUUUAAUUUGACUCUUUAGUGCUUCAGUCACAUCAGCACUUGCAGAGGGGUUGUUCUUUUCCUUUUUCUUCUUUCUCUCUUUUUCUCUUCUCUCUGUCCUUCUCCCCACCCCCAUCCCUCAAUUCAGGCAGUUUGGGGUGGGAAAAACUUGAGCACUGGUUCCGACAGAGCUCAUCUCACAUAAGAAGGUAUGGAAGAGCUGCAGUGAUCGACAGCAUCGACCGUUCUGUAACUCCUUAAAUUUGAGAGCUGCAGGGCUUCCUGAAGAAUGAGAAGGACAAUGCCCUGCUGUCUGCCAUUGAAGAGUCCCGGAAGAGGGGUCAUUGUUCUCUGUUCCUUUCUGACAGACCUUUGGCAUGGCUGAGGAGUACCAUCGAGAGUCAAUGUUGGUCGAGUGGGAGCAAGUGAAACAGCGAAUUCUGCACACACUGCUGGCAUCAGGAGAAGACGCCCUUGACU